GUCACAUCCUCUGCAUCCAUUUUGUGGUCAUAAUGGUGUUCUGAGUUUGUUAUAACCAAUUUAUUGAUGUGAUUAUGACAUGCUAUAAAUUGGUCACUUACAUGAGAAAAAGGUACACUUGUCACGUCAAGAGAGCAAGGCUUGAGGGAAUAGGGAAUGCUUUUCCUAAACAAAUUAGGAAUUUCGUUAACAACUUUUCAUUCAGAAAUUGCUAUAAUUAUGUUGCAGCUUCAGCAAUACGGACAUCGCUAUACACACUGUUGAUGUGUGGUGGUCGCUGCAGCAGGGAGGAGAGAGAGACAACGGGUGCUAGUCACAAAGUCACUCGCUAUCUUUUUUAUUUUAACACAUUGCAGCAAGUCUGAGCCAGGUGGCACAGCCAAAUGCAUUGUGGUUGAACUCCCUGUAGUCAUUUGUGCGUCAAUUAUUUCAUCAAACAGUUCGCUUAAAAGAAUCAGACACGCUCAGUGGAUAUAGUUGAUUUAAAUAAAGCACAUAGGAUGUGUCUAUAUGGAAAAAUACACGUUUUAAAAUUUCGACCAAUGGAUUCGUCAAAAGAACAGAUGACUCUUGGUCGACCAAGAUUUUUUUUAGUCGGGGACAGCCCUAGUGCCAGCGCUUAACGUCCAGCCAGCCAUAAGAUUAGCCAAUGCUGUACUGAACACUCAGUCUGCAGCCAAGCUAUUCGUUUGCAUUUAGGCUAUUAUCCACUUCAUCAACAGGUGUAUGUCAAAUAAACGAACAUGGCAGAGCAGAAAAUUGAAGAUCAAGAGAUAGGCAACAAAAAAACACGGGAAGAAAGGGCAUCUCUAUCAAAAAUACAGCAUCGCUGCUGUAACGUGACAUUUUCUAAGGCUUCCAUUGGCUCUCAGAAGGCGCCAGAAAGUGGAACGACGUCUCUCCAGUCUCUGGGCGAAAAACAGCAGGAGAUUUUGUGAGUGGUCAGGCUGAGAACAGUGACACUGGAGAUGCGCGUUCAUGUGAAUUCUCCAUGUUUUUCUUUCUCUCUUUGAACUAAUACAACGUCGCCCGGUUGGAAUAUUAUCGCUAUUUUACGAGAAAUUUAAUUGUUUUUUUGUUUUUUUAAAUCACAUAAAAAUGUAUGUUAAACAGCAUUUGACAUGCUUCGAAGUAUGGUAAUGGAAUACUACGUAGUUCCCAUGAUGUCUGUAUAGCGACCAGAUAUUUCUAACCUCUAUAAUACUUAUUAGAAACAUUAUGAAUGUGCCUAUAAUGUCCCAAACGGGCUAUGGCAUUCAGUACCUCUGGAAGACUUAAGGGGAACGUUACAAAUGUCUCAGUUACUUUCCUUGUAAAGUCUCCUGACAUUUAGAACCUCUAAAGUACUUAUUUCCAAAGUAACAAAUGUUCCUACCCACUUAGAAAGCAAUGUCCCAGGUAACAAGGAACGUAACUGAAACAUUUGUAACAUUCCUCUUAAGUCUUCCAGAGGUACUGAAUGUCAUAGCGCAUUUGGGUCAUUAUAGGCACAUUCAUAACGUUUCUAAUAAGUAUUAUAGAGGUUAUAAAUAUCCGGUCGCUAUAGAGACAUCAUGGGAACAUUAAAAACGUUCCUUGGUAGUCCAUGAAAGGUUCUGAAU
rnacentral:lncRNA from 1 species